rnacentral:rRNA from 1 species
CGUGUAGGCGGUUGAGUGAGUCAGAUGUGAAAGCCUUCCGCUUAACGGGAGAAGUGCAUUUGAUACUGCUCAGCUGGAGUACGGGAGAGGAGAGUGGAAUUCCCGGUGUAGGGGUGAAAUCCGUAGAUAUCGGGAGGAACACCAGUGGCGAAGGCGGCUCUCUGGUCCGAUACUGACGCUGAGACGCGAAAGCGUGGGGAGCAAACAGGAUUAGAUACCCUGGUAGUCCACGCCGUAAACGAUGGGCACUAGGUGUAGGAGGUAUUGACCCCUUCUGUGCCGAAGCUGACGCAUUAAGUGCCCCGCCUGGGGAGUACGGCCGCAAGGCUAAA